rnacentral:lncRNA from 1 species
CAAACACACGAGGCCAUACAUACCUCCUAAUCUUUCCCAAAUAGUCCAACUGGGGACCAUACUUCCUCAUUCAAGGGUCUACAGUGAUCUCUUCCUGUGUGGGGGUCCUUAUCUUCACUCAUAUCCAACUCAGGACACUUCCCUGACUUUAAAACUUUUACGUCCCUUCUCUUGAUUUCAGCCUAAAUGGCCACUCUGCUUAUUUUGCUUUCUCAGGCCGAAUCCUUGAAGUCUUCCAUGGCAGUGUUCUUGAACCUCUUCUUCAUUCCUAUUUUCCCCUGGGAUCUUAACUCACACAACAUUCCUCAAUGGGCUCUUUCUUUCUGCUUCAGAGAGUGACUCCCGUACACUGAAAUGUCACUUGCACAAGGACUACACUAUUUAAAAUGGUAGCUUCUGUUCAUAGGGUGCUUCUUAACUUUGCUUGAGAUAAUUUAUCACGGACAAACACAGAUAUAUGUAACAUUGUAUUGUGUGUCUUUUCCUUCCUGGCCUCCCCGUUUCCUAAUGCAUACACAGAGUGUGGGCUGCACAAGAACCAGGACACUUUCCUUUUUUUGUUUACUAUCGUCAAAGGCUAAGACAAUAAUAUGUAGACUGUGGGAUCAGAUAUUUGUUGACUGGAUACAGCUUCCUAGGAAUUGGUAUGUAAGAUGUAAGUUUAAUAGCUGCUGAUGUUCAGAAAGUUGCUUUAGUGUAAAGAAGCUUUAGGUUGUAAAAAAACGACUCGAUGGAGGAAGUACAAAGUUUUGACCAGACCUUGAGAAAAAAAACCAAAAUAAGCUUUCCUUAGAUUUAAUUCCUACUACUCUUUAUCCUACUGAGUUGUACCAUUCUUUUUAAUAAAGACUUUACUCCCACUCUUGUCUGGACUGGUG